UACAGAGGGUGCAAGCGUUGUUCGGAAUUAUUGGGCGUAAAGGGCGCGUAGGCGGUGCCACAAGUCACCUGUGAAAUCUCCGGGCUUAACUCGGAGCCUGCAGGCGAAACUGUGGUGCUGGAGUGUGGGAGAGGUGCGUGGAAUUCCCAGUGUAGAGGUGAAAUUCGUAGAUAUUGGGAAGAACACCGGUGGCGAAGGCGGCUCACUGGCUCAUAUCUGACGCUCAGGCGCGACAGCGUGGGGAUCAAACAGG
rnacentral:rRNA from 1 species